GACCAUGUGUUAACCACAAUUGACGAGUUGACAAAGCCAGGUGUUCUCCAGAUUCAACAGAGAAAAAAAUGAAUAAAGAAUAGAAAUAUGUUUUCACUGUGAUGUUUAAAAAUUGGACAGUUCAUAUAGAUCUAUGUGAAAUACAAGUUCCUGAGCCUUCACAAUGUUCAGUAGUUAUCAUACCAGAUGGUGUAGAAGCCCUUGAAGUUUUAGGAGGAUAACUGAC
rnacentral:misc_RNA from 1 species